rnacentral:rRNA from 1 species
AUUGAACGCUGGCGGCAUGCCUUACACAUGCAAGUCGAACGGCAGCACAGGGAGCUUGCUCCUGGGUGGCGAGUGGCGAACGGGUGAGUAAUGUAUCGGAACGUGCCCAGUAGUGGGGGAUAACUACUCGAAAGAGUGGCUAAUACCGCAUGAGAUCUCUGGAUGAAAGUGGGGGACCGCAAGGCCUCACGCUACUGGAGCGGCCGAUAUCAGAUUAGGUUGUUGGUGGGGUAAAGGCCUACCAAGCCUGCGAUCUGUAGCUGGUCUGAGAGGACGAUCAGCCACACUGGGACUGAGACACGGCCCAGACUCCUACGGGAGGCAGCAGUGGGGAAUAUUGGACAAUGGGCGAAAGCCUGAUCCAGCAAUGCCGCGUGUGUGAAGAAGGCCUGAGGGUUGUAAAGCACUUUCAAUCGUGAAGAAAAGUUAGCAGGCUAAUACCCUGUGACCUUGACGUUAACGAUACAAGAAGCACCGG